UACUUUAAUAAGAAUGCACUUUGGCACCCCUUUAUUUUCUUCACUUUAGGCUAUUAUUUUACAAACUAGAUAUAAAAGGACAUAAAUAAAUGACAUAAGUUACAUGUACCUAGAGCUCCUCGACCAAAAAAAACCAAUGCAAAAUAAAAAAAGAAUCAUGAUCAUGUCCAACAAAAAAAAAAAAAUACAAAAAAAGAUUGAGAGAAUGUUAGAUCUACAUGGCUAGAUCAUAUGGCAUCGGAAGGCAUACAAUGACAAACAUUAACUCUUGCGUUUUGUUAAUAUUUUUUCAUUUUUGUCUUUUCAAAUCAUCCGACAUUUAAGUAAAGGAAAAAAGUAUUUUACAGUACAUUCUGGUUUCCUUCUCCUUCCCAUCAUGUCUUGCAUAUUUCCAAACAGGUCCUUUUCGAUAGAUAAACCCCAAAAAACCAUUGCCAAAAAAGGAAAGAGCAGUAGAGCUGUAUUAAGGACGGAGGUGGUUUUGUAUUAUAUGAAGCGUCGCUUACGAGUUCAAAAACAUUCACAUAAGUAUAGUUUUAAAAGAUAAAGGAACAAAAGGAAUAUAGUCCAUUGGGUAAAACCUGUAGCUGUAUGAUGUGCUCUGGAAAAAAAAUAAUAAAAUAACCCAGUUUUCCCUUCUUAAACACCUUUUUUCCUCACUUUUCUGUGUACAAGGAUGUCAUUUCAAACUGCGUCCACCUCCGAAUAGAGAAAGAUGGUUCCGAUAUUUCCUCCUUGACUUGUCAUGAGCUCGGAGAGUCCAAACUCCAGUCUGCUUGAUGUGUUCGUAUGCACAGGAGGCUUUUAGUCACACUUAGCUGCGUCUCUGUGUGUCCAUUCGCAAGCCGCUGUUACUGCCAAAGCAGAGAUGGGUUGCAUUCCAGAAAGCUGUUUAAUAAAUGCUGUUGCUGAGUAGAGUUUGCACAACGUGACCAACACACCUUACACUGUUUUUUUUAGACGACACAAAAAGCCCAAAACUGAAAAAAAAAAAGGAAAAUAAAGUCCAGGGUUUUUCUUUUUUUAUAUCAAAAACUAUACAACUCUGUUAUCUCCUCCUCCUCCACAGUGGCAUGAAAACAGACACAAUGACUGAUAGUACUUCAAAGACAUUGUCACUCAUAGAGCUACACACUUGCACACACACACACACACACACACACACACACACACACACACACACACACACACACACACACAUCAUUGCAUUCGCACGCUCAAAUCAAAUCCUUGUUAUUUUACAUGCAAACAGAACAAUAAAAAAAAAAACUCACAAAAUAAAAUGAAACUUUCCAAAAAAAAAAAAAGUACAUUAUCCGCUGGAGCAGGGCUUCUCGAUUAUAUUACAUUCUUCUUAUUGUCUCUUUUUUAUGCUGUUGAAUCAUUCAUAGUAAUUCCAGCACAUCGCUGGACGGCCACAAGCAACGGGUGGCUAGUCUGUCAAGUCGACGUGUCGUGACGAUGGACGUCCCGGACGCUUGGCGGGACGGAUUUGUCAUCUCGGUGACCCCAAAAGGAGAGGAGGGGUGAGCAGGAGGAGGAAGACAAAGAGGAAGAGCGGGAAGAAUUCUGGUCAUGGCGAGCGUGGCCGGGAUCCUGUUUAUGAUGGACGGCGGCAGCUGCGGAGAAAGAAAAGGGGGGAGAGGCU
ensembl:lncRNA